UCUUCGGCAAUGGGCGCAAGCCUGACCGAGCGACGCCGCGUGUGCGAUGAAGGCCUUCGGGUUGUAAAGCACUGUCGAGGGGGAUAAAGGCGCAAGCUUGAUAGAUCCCUGGAGGAAGCACGGGCUAAGUUCGUGCCAGCAGCCGCGGUAAGACGAACCGUGCGAACGUUGUUCGGAAUCACUGGGCUUAAAGGGUGCGUAGGCGGGGUGGCAAGUCUGUGGUGAAAUCCUCCGGCUCAACCGGAGAACUGCCGUGGAUACUGCUACUCUCGAGGGGUGUAGGGGCAUGUGGAACUCAGGGUGGAGCGGUGAAAUGCGUAGAUAUCCUGAGGAACGCCGGUGGCGAAAGCGACGUGCUGGACACCUUCUGACGCUGAG
rnacentral:rRNA from 1 species